rnacentral:rRNA from 1 species
CCUACGGGAGGCAGCAGUGGGGAAUAUUGCACAAUGGGCGCAAGCCUGAUGCAGCAACGCCGCGUGAGGGACGACGGCCUUCGGGUUGUAAACCUCUUUUAGCAAGGAAGAAGCGAAAGUGACGGUACUUGCAGAAAAAGCGCCGGCUAACUACGUGCCAGCAGCCGCGGUAAUACGUAGGGCGCAAGCGUUAUCCGGAAUUAUUGGGCGUAAAGAGCUCGUAGGCGGUUUGUCGCGUCUGCUGUGAAAACCCGAGGCUCAACCUCGGGCCUGCAGUGGGUACGGGCAGACUAGAGUGCGGUAGGGGAGAUUGGAAUUCCUGGUGUAGCGGUGGAAUGCGCAGAUAUCAGGAGGAACACCGAUGGCGAAGGCAGAUCUCUGAGCCGUAACUGACGCUGAGGAGCGAAAGGGUGGGGAGCAAACAGGCUUAGAUACCCUGGUAGUCCACCCCGUAAACGUUGGGAACUAGUUGUGGGGACCAUUCCACGGUCUCCGUGACGCAGCUAACGCAUUAAGUUCCCCGCCUGGGGAGUACGGCCGCAAGGCUAAACUCAAAGGAAUUGACGG